rnacentral:rRNA from 1 species
UAGCCUACGGGGGGCAGCAGUGAGGAAUAUUGGUCAAUGGGCGCAAGCCUGAACCAGCCAAGUCGCGUGAGGGAUGACGGUCCUAUGGAUUGUAAACCUCUUUUGUCGGGGAGCAAGGCCCGCCACGUGUGGCGGGAAGGAGAGUACCCGAAGAAAAAGCAUCGGCUAAAUCCGUGCCAGCAGGCGCGGUAAUACGGAGGAUGCGAGCGUUAUCCGGAAUUAUUGGGUUUAAAGGGGGCGUAGGGGGAGUGUCAAGUCAGCGGGAAAAUUUCGGGGCUCAAGCCCGUCGUGCCGUUGAA